AGCGCUCAAGAGGACCUUCCAGAGGAUCUCACGGGAGACGCCUAAACCAUCAUUUGAACUCGCUACUUGAAUCACUGUUGGAUUGAAAGAUUUUGGUAAAGCCGACUAGAUUAUACUUUUGAUUGGAAUCGGGGCUGUAAAUGUGUAGUCGACUUUUAAUGGUUGCAUUUUGGAACUUGAUGUAUCUUUUGUGGACAUGAUGUAAGAUUUAAAUAUUUAGUUAAGGAAGCGACUUUUCUUUAUUUUGACUCGUAG